UUAAUUAAGAAGAAGAAUAACUAAAUCACUUCCAAGGUGAAAUGUGGCAACAUUAUAUUUACUUUCAGGGAACUUUAAUUCAGUAGAAAAAAGGUCAAACUAAUUUAUUUGGUCUCCCACCCAAUAGGACGAAGUGGAGUUUAUUCCGCUGCCCUCUGAUAUUCCCACAUUUCUUUCUCACGCUCUCUCUCCGCUGCGCGUCUCCUCGCGCACGCAUGCGUCAAAUCGAUAGCCCGCAACAAGGAUGUUUCUUUAGAUGCCACUGAAAUUAUUGUCAAAAGUAAAAAGAAGCCUUUUUUGGGGGGGGUAGGGGGGGGGGGGCAUCUCUCUCACCCCUCCCGACCUGCAGAACAAUGUCGCCCACAGCUGAGGACGCCCCCGACUCUUUCCCAACACGAGCGCCGUCUGGAUUCCUGCAAUCCGCAGAAUGCGAUUCUCGUCAGCAUCCACGAGGUCCCAAACUAACACGGCCACCCCAUCGGUCCCAAAGAGACCUCCCAGAUCCGUUCUUGCACAUCUUGGGUGCAGCUGCUAUCACCAACUUCCAUUGGAAUCAUGCAAAGCAAACUAUGGACAUCAAGAACAACACCGUGCGUGGGAGAAGAGUCUCUAUGAUUACUGUGCCAAGGAGCAUACCUGUAGCUCUGUCUUACUCCUCCCUAACCUAGAGGAGGUUAAUACUGAAGACCUAGAGAUCAACAGAUUUGAGGGUGAAUGGAUUAUGAAAAGAGUUGUGAAAUCCAGAGCUCCGGCACACACUCCUGUUUGUGGUGGCAGGCAAAUAAUUACGACCGGUUUGGUGGUGAGAAAGGGCCCGAGGCGUCUAACUUGAGUAACACAACUCUCUUAAGACCAUCAUUUUCCAGUUUUCACUUAAUGGGAUAAUCUUUUAUGAUCAUGAAAGAUAUAUAUGGUCAUUAUUUAUGUAGUAAUCAGUGUAAAGCCUUUAGAAGCAUGAGGUAAUUAAAUAAAUGCUACCAUGGCUGAGGAAAUGAUGAUGUACACAAUUGAACUCAGACAACAGCCGGCUCUCAACUGUGAUGUUUUUCACUCUCAUACUACAUACAUUCUGUAUUUGGAGAAAUGUUGAAA